rnacentral:rRNA from 1 species
GAUUAACGCUGGCGGCGUGCAUAACACAUGCAAGUCGAACGAUGAAACUUAAAUGAUUUCUUCGGAAUGAACUUAAGUGGAUUAGUGGCGGACGGGUGAGUAACGCGUGAGUAACCUGCCUUACACAAGGGGAUAGCCGUUGGAAACGACGAAUAAUACCCUAUGAAACUAUCACUUCGCAUGAAGCGAUAGUCAAAGUGUUAGCGGUGUAAGAUGGACUUGCGUCUGAUUAGCUAGUUGGUGAGAAAAAAGCCCACCAAGGCAACGAUCAGUAGCCGGCUUGAGAGAGUGUACCGCCCCAUUGGGACUGAGACACGGCCCAGACUCCUACGGGAGGCAGCAGUGGGGAAUUUUGCACAAUGGGGGAAACCCUGAUGCAGCGACGCCGCGUGAUUUAGAAGGCCUUCGGGUUGUAAAAAUCUUUUGUAUAGGAAGAAAAUGACAGUACUAUACGAAUAAGGUCCGGCUAAUUACGUG